CACGUAGGGCGCAAGCGUUGUCCGGAAUUAUUGGGCGUAAAGAGCUCGUAGGCGGUCUGUUGCGUCCGCUGUGAAAACUCGAGGCUCAACCUCGAGACGCCGAUGGAAACCAUCAGACUAGAGUCCGGAAGAGGAGAGUGGAAUUCCUGGUGUAGCGGUGAAAUGCGCAGAUAUCAGGAAGAACACCCGUGGCUAAGGCGGCUCUCUAGUACGGUACUGACGCUGAGACGCGAAAGCGUGGGGAGCGAACAGG
rnacentral:rRNA from 1 species